rnacentral:rRNA from 1 species
UGGGGAAUUUUGGACAAUGGGCGCAAGCCUGAUCCAGCCAUGCCGCGUGUCUGAAGAAGGCCUUCGGGUUGUAAAGGACUUUUGUCGGGGAGGAAAUCCUCUGGGUUAAUACCCUAGGGGGAUGACAGUACCUGAAGAAUAAGCACCGGCUAACUACGUGCCAGCAGCCGCGGUAAUACGUAGGGUGCAAGCGUUAAUCGGAAUUACUGGGCGUAAAGCGUGCGCAGGCGGUUGUGCAAGUCUGAUGUGAAAUCCCCGGGCUUAACCUGGGAACUGCAUUGGAGACUGCACGGCUAGAGUGCGUCAGAGGGGGGUGGAAUUCCGCGUGUAGCAGUGAAAUGCGUAGAGAUGCGGAGGAACACCGAUGGCGAAGGCAGCCCCCUGGGAUGACACUGACGCUCAUGCACGAAAGCGUGGGGAGCAAACA